GAGAGAUAAGAAAGUAAUUGUCCUGUGAUAUUUGUGUUGGGUCGGUACAUAUUGCCUAUAUAUUUGGUGUGUUUGUGUACUGCUAAGUUGGAGAAAUGAUUCAGAGAAUGAGAAAAAUAGAGGAAAGAUUUUAGAGAGAGUUUAGAUAAAAUUGAGGACAGACAGCCGAGAGACGGCACAGAGGGCCGGACUUGAGGCUUUGAUAUUUCAGUGAUGAUUUGUUUUGUAGAGUACCGAGGAUGAACUUGGAUUGCUAGUAGCGGGCUUAGGUUGAAGAGUUGGUGUUGAGGAAUUAAUUUAUUUAUUUUGAGAGAUGUUGUAUUCAUUUUUGAGGAAUUGAUUCUAUAUCAAUAAAAUGGUAUUUUCUUUUGAGA